AUUGAACGCUGGCGGCAGGCCUAACACAUGCAAGUCGAACGAGUCGCGGGCGGGUGUGUAAUGUCUGGGAAAUUGCCCGAUGGAGGGGGAAAACUACUGGAAACGGUAGCUAACACCCCAUACCAUCACAUGUGCAUAGAUGGGCUUGGCUUGGUGGUGGGGUAAAGGCUCACCAGGGCGACGACCCCUAGCUGGUCUGAGAGGAUAACCAGCCACACGGGAACUGAGACACGGUCCAGACGCCUACGGGGGGCAGCAGUGGGGAAUAUGGCACAAGGGGCGAAGGCCUGAUGCAGCCAUGCCGCGUGUAGGAAGAAGGCCUUCGGGUUGUAAAGUACUUUCAGCGGGGAGGCGUUAACCGCAGAAGAAGCACCGGCUAACUCCGUGCCAGCAGCCGCGGUAAUUC
rnacentral:rRNA from 1 species